UGCGGUUAAAAGGCUCGUAGUUGGAUCUCGGCGGGUAGAAGGCGGUACACUGCUAAGUGUUACUGCCUUAUUACCCGUAGUUUUUGCUAGAGGUUUCAGGGUGCUCUUAAUCGAGUGUCCUGGGAUGCUAGCAGGUUUACUUUGAAAAAAUUAGAGUGCUCAAAGCAGGCUACUACGCUUGAAUAUUCGUGCAUGGAAUAAUAGAAUAGGAAGUCGUUUCUAUUUUGUUGGUUUUCGGAAAUCGACUUAAUGAUUAAUAGGGACAGUCGGGGGCAUUUGUAUUCAAACGACAGAGGUGAAAUUCUUGGACCGUUUGAAGACAAACUACUGCGAAAGCAUUUGCCAAGAAUGUUUUCAUUGAUCAAGAACGAAAGUUAGAGGUUCGAAGGCGAUUAGAUACCGCCCUAGUUCUAACCAUAAACGAUGCCAGCUAGCGAUCUGCGGACGUUUUUUUUGUAGACUCCGCAGGAAGCUUCCGGGAAACCAAAGCGUGUGGGUUCCGGGGGA
rnacentral:rRNA from 1 species